GACAGAGGGUGCAAACGUUGUUCGGAAUUACUGGGCGUAAAGCGCGUGUAGGCGGCUUUGCAAGUCGGGUGUGAAAUCCCCAGGCUCAACCUGGGAACUGCAUUCGAGACUGCAUUGCUAGAGUAUGGGAGAGGGAAGUGGAAUUUCAGGUGUAGCGGUGAAAUGCGUAGAUAUCUGAAGGAACAUCAGUGGCGAAAGCGACUUCCUGGACCAAUACUGACGCUCAUGUGCGAAAGCGUGGGGAGCAAACAGG
rnacentral:rRNA from 1 species